AUUGAACGCUGGCGGCCGGCCUAACACAUGCAAGUCGAACGGAGUGGCGGACGGGUGCGUAAUGUUUGGGAAUCUGCCUGGUAGUGGGGGUUAACGUCCGGCAACGGGAGCUAAUACCGCAUCCUAACAUCUGAGCCUAGGUUGGAUUAGCUAGUGGGUGGGUUAAAGGCCUACCAAGGAGACGAUCCGUACCUGGUCUGAGAGGAUGAUCAGCCAUACUGGAACUGAGACACGGUCCAGACUCCUACGGGAGGCAUCAGUGGGGAAUAGUGUACAAUGGGCGAAAGCCUGAUCCAGCCAUGCCGCGUGUGUGAAGAAGGUCUUCGUAUUGUAAAGCACUUUAAGUUGGGAGGCGUUACCAACAGAAUAAGCACCGGCUAACUUCGUGCCAGCGGCCGCGGUAAUUC
rnacentral:rRNA from 1 species